rnacentral:misc_RNA from 1 species
GCUUCUUUGGAGGUUAUUCGGCGAGGCCAUUGGAAUUUCUAUAGGCUGGAGAACGAGCACCUGAACAAUGUUGGCAAGUUCAGGGCAGUGAAGGCAGUACCCUUACCAUUCCGCGAGACAGAUUCAGAUGGCUGAAACUAUAUUCUACAAACUUUUAUGGAAAUGCCUGAAGAUUUCAUGCUGGGAAAAGUCCCUAGCAUUCUGACAUUAAGGGGCGUUCAAAACUUUGCUGCUACAGUUAGACUGGGAUCCACAUCUUAUGUGGGGGGAAAAAGCC